rnacentral:tRNA from 1 species
GUCACGAUAGUUUAAGUGGUAGGGUAGCGGCGUACUAAGCCGAAGGUCGUGGGUUCGAAUCCCACUCGUGACA